rnacentral:tRNA from 1 species
AUUCUUUUAGUAUAACCAGUACAAUUGACUUCCAAUCAAUGAGAUUCGGACAACAACCGAAAAAGAAUA